GACGAACGCUGGCGGCGUGCUUAACACAUGCAAGUCGAACGCUGAUCCACUUUCGGGUGGGGAUGAGUGGCGAACGGGUGAGUAACACGUGGGUAAUCUGCCCUGCACUCUGGGAUAAGCCUUGGAAACGAGGUCUAAUACCGGAUAUCACAAUCUCUCGCAUGGGGGGUUGUUGAAAGUUCUGGCGGUGCAGGAUGAACCCGCGGCCUAUCAGCUUGUUGGGGGGUAGUGGCCUACCAAGGCGACGACGGGUAGCCGGCCUGAGAGGGUGACCGGCCACACUGGGACUGAGACACGGCCCAGACUCCUACGGGAGGCAGCAGUGGGGAAUAUUGCACAAUGGGCGCAAGCCUGAUGCAGCGACGCCGCGU
rnacentral:rRNA from 1 species